rnacentral:rRNA from 1 species
GCGCACAGAGUCGCAUGACUCAGUGUGAAAAACUCCGGUGGUAUGGGAUGGGCCCGCGUCAGAUUAGCCAGUUGGCGGGGUAACGGCCCACCAAAGCAACGAUCUGUAGCCGGACUGAGAGGUCGGACGGCCACAUUGGGACUGAGACACGGCCCAAACUCCUACGGGAGGCAGCAGUGGGGGAUAUUGCACAAUGGAGGAAACUCUGAUGCAGCGACGCCGCGUGAGUGAAGAAGUAUUUCGGUAUGUAAAGCUCUAUCAGCAGGGAAGAAAGGCUCGCAAGAGAGAUGACGGUACCUGACUAAGAAGCCCCGGCUAACUACGUGCCAGCAGCCGCGGUAAUACGUAGGGGGCAAGCGUUAUCCGGAUUUACUGGGUGUAAAGGGAGCGCAGACGGUCAAGCAAGUCUGAAGUGAAACCCCACGGCUCAACCGUGGGCUUGCUUUGGAAACUGUUUGACUAGAGUACUGGAGAGGUAAGCGGAAUUCCUAGUGUAGCGGUGAAAUGCGUAGAUAUUAGGAGGAACAUCGGUGGCGAAGGCGGCUUACUGGACAGCAACUGACGUUGAGGCUCGAAGGCG